UACGGCCAUAUCACGUUGAAAUAUCGGUUCCUGUACGAUCACCGAAGUUAAGUGAUGUCGAGCCUGGUCAUUAUCUAGAUGGGUGACCGCUUCGGAAUACUAGGUGCUGUAA